rnacentral:snRNA from 1 species
GUGCUCACUUCGGCAGCAAAUAUACUAAAAUUGGAAUGAUAUAGAGGAGUUUGGUGCAAGGUUGACUUGCAAAUUCAUUAAGUGUUUCAUUUUUUU